UACGAAGGGGGCAAGCGUUGUUCGGAUUUACUGGGCGUAAAGCGUACGUAGGCGGAUGAUUAAGUCAGGGGUGAAAUCCCGGGGCUCAACCUCGGAACUGCCUUUGAUACUGGUCAUCUUGAGUCCGGGAGAGGUGAGUGGAACUCCUAGUGUAGAGGUGAAAUUCGUAGAUAUUCGCAAGAACACCAGUGGCGAAGGCGGCUCACUGGCCCGGUACUGACGCUGAGGUGCGAAAGCGUGGGGAGCAAACAGG
rnacentral:rRNA from 1 species